CCAUGUUUUCAAUUGGUUCCUAUUCAUUUGAUCCAAUGAAAAAAGAGCUUUCAUGGGAGAUCGGUAAAAUACAAUCUCAGACAUCGUCACCUAACAUCAAAGGAAAUAUAUCUUUAAAAAGCGAUGUUCCACCUUCGUAAGAA